rnacentral:rRNA from 1 species
GACGAACGCUGGCGGCGUGCUUAACACAUGCAAGUCGAACGGAAAGGCCCUGCUUUUGUGGGGUGCUCGAGUGGCGAACGGGUGAGUAACACGUGAGUAACCUGCCCUUGACUUUGGGAUAACUUCAGGAAACUGGGGCUAAUACCGGAUAGGAGCUCCUGCUGCAUGGUGGGGGUUGGAAAGUUUCGGCGGUUGGGGAUGGACUCGCGGCUUAUCAGCUUGUUGGUGGGGUAGUGGCUUACCAAGGCUUUGACGGGUAGCCGGCCUGAGAGGGUGACCGGCCACAUGGGGACUGAGAUACGGCCCAGACUCCUACGGGGGGCAGCAGUGGGGAAUAUUGCACAAUGGGCGGAAGCCUGAUGCAGCAACGCCGCGUGCGGGAUGACGGCCUUCGGGUUGUAAACCGCUUUCACCUGUGACGAAGCGUGAGUGACGGUAAUGGGUAAAGAAGCACCGGCUAACUACGUG